rnacentral:rRNA from 1 species
UACAGGGGGGGCAAGGCGUUGUUCGGAAUUACUGGGCGUAAAGGGCUCGUAGGUGGCCAACUAAGGUCAGACGUGAAAUCCCUCAGCUUAACUGGGGAACUGCGUCUGAUACUGGAUGGCUUGAGUUUGGGAGAGGGGAUGCGGAAUUCCAGGUGUAGCGGUGAAAUGCGUAGAUAUCUGGAGGAACACCGGUGGCGAAGGCGGCAUCCUGGACCGGCAUUGACGCUGAGGCGCGAAAGCUAGGGGAGCAAACGGG